GAGGAUAUAGCUCAGUGGUAGAGCGCAUGCUUAGCAUGCACAAGGUCCUGGGUUCAAAUGCUAGUGCCUCCA
rnacentral:tRNA from 1 species